rnacentral:rRNA from 1 species
AUUGAACGCUAGCGGGAUGCCUUACACAUGCAAGUCGAACGGAGUGGCGAACGGGUACGUAAUGUAUCGGAACGUGCCAAGUAGCGGGGGAUAACUACGCGAAAGCGUAGCUAAUACCGCAUACUCUUGGAGCGGCCGAUAUCGGAUUAGCUAGUUGGUGGGGUAACGGCUUACAAGGGCGGAGAUCCGUCGCUGGGUUGAGAGGACGAGCAGCCACACUGGGACUGAGAAACGGCCCAGACUCCUACGGUAGGCAGCAGUGGGGAAUUUUGGACAAUGGGGGAAACCCUGAUCCAGCCAUCCCGCGUGUGCGAUGAAGGCCUUCGGGUUGUAAAGCACUUUUGGCAGGAAAGCGGUACCUGCAGAAUAAGCACCGGCUAACUACGUGCCAGCAGCCGCGGUAAUAC